rnacentral:rRNA from 1 species
UGGCGAACGGGUGAGUAACACGUGGGCAACCUGCCCAAAAGAGGGGGAUAACACCUUGGAAACAGGUGCUAAUACCGCAUAACCAUAGUUACCGCAUGGUAACUAUGUAAAAGGUGGCUAUGCUACCGCUUUUGGAUGGGCCCGCGGCGCAUUAGCUAGUUGGUGGGGUAAAGGCUUACCAAGGCAAUGAUGCGUAGCCGAACUGAGAGGUUGAUCCGGCCACAUUGGGACUGAGACACGGCCCAAACUCCUACGGAAGGCAGCAG